AGUUGGUAAGGUAAUGGCUUACCAAGGCUAUGACGGGUAGGGGACCUGAGAGGGUGGCCCCCCACAAUGGAACUGAAGCACGGUCCAUACACCUACGGGUGGCAGCAGUAGGGAAUAUUAGUAAUGGGCGAAAGCCUGAACUAGCAACGCUGCGUGUGCGAAGAAGGCCUUCGGGUUGUAAAGCACUUUUAGAGAGGAUGAGGAAGGACGGUACUCUCAGAAUAAGUCUCGGCUAACUACGUGCCAGCAGCCGCGGUAACACGUAGGAGGCGAACGUUAUCCGGAUUUACUGGGCGUAAAGCGCGUGUAGGUGGUUUGGUAAGUAGGGCGUGAAAGCUCCCGGCUCAACUGGGAGAGGCCGUUCUAAACUGCCAAGCUAGAGGAUGGUAGAGGGAGGUGGAAUUCCGGGUGUAGCGGUGGAAUGCGCAGAUAUCCGGAGGAACACCAGUGGCGAAGGCGGCCUCCUGGGCCACUCCUGACACUCAGACGCGAAAGCUAGGGUAGCAAACGGGAUUAGAGACCCCGGUAGUCCUAGCCCUAAACGAUGUAGACUUGGCGUCGGUGGUUUAAACGCCAUCGGUGUCGCAGCUAACGC
rnacentral:rRNA from 1 species